CUAUACAUGCAGUCGAGCGAGCAAAGUUAAAGGAAUACUUCGGUAGGAAUUUAAUAGCGCGAGCGGCGGAUGGGUGAGUAACACGUGGGCAAUCUACCCUUUAGCUUGGGAUACCACUUGGAAACAGGUGCUAAUACCAAAUAAGAAGUAAGAGCGCAUGCUCAAGCUAUGAAAGGCGGCUUUCGAGCUGUCACUAAAGGAUGAGCCCGCGGUGCAUUAGCUAGUUGGUAAGGUAACGGCUUACCAAGGCAAUGAUGCAUAGCCGAGUUGAGAGACUGAUCGGCCACAUUGGGACUGAGACACGGCCCAAACUCCUACGGGAGGCAGCAGUAGGGAAUCUUCCACAAUGGACGCAAGUCUGAUGGAGCAACGCCGCGUGAGUGAAGAAGGUUUUCGGAUCGUAAAGCUCUGUUGUUGGUGAAGAAGGACAUGGAUAGUAACUGAUCUAUGUUUGACGGUAAUCAACCAGAAAGUCACGGCUAACUACGUGCCAGCAGCCGCGGUAAUACGUAGGUGGCAAGCGUUGUCCGGAUUUAUUGGGCGUAAAGCGAACGCAGGCGGGAAAACAAGUCAGCUGUGAAAGCCCUCGGCUUAACCGAGGAACGGCAACUGAAACUGUUUUUCUUGAGUGCAGAAGAGGAGAGUGGAACUCCAUGUGUAGCGGUGAAAUGCGUAGAUAUAUGGAAGAACACCAGUGGCGAAGGCGGCUCUCUGGUCUGUAACUGACGCUGAGGUUCGAAAGCAUGGGUAGCGAACAGGAUUAGAUACCCUGGUAGUCCAUGCCGUAAACGAUGAGUGCUAAGUGUUGGGAGGUUUCCGCCUCUCAGUGCUGCAGCUAACGCAUUAAGCACUCCGCCUGGGGAGUACGACCGCAAGGUUAAAACUCAAAGGAAUUGACGGGGGCCCGCACAAGCGGUGGAGCAUGUGGUUUAAUUCGAAGCAACGCGAGAACCUUACCAGGUCUUGACAUCUAGUGCAAACCCUAGAGAUAGGGUGUUUCCUUCGGGAACACUAAGACAGGUG
rnacentral:rRNA from 1 species